ensembl:lncRNA
CUUUCCUUGAUUCCCCUUGCUCCCCAUAUGCUUAUAGCACUUGUUGUGUGUUAUAAAUCAUUUCCUUAUUUGUCUUUUAGAUUGAAUUUCUAGGAGCAAGCAGAAGUUCUAGAACUAUUAGAAUAAAGCAAGGGAGUGAGGGAAGGGACCGGAAUGUCAGAUGCACAGGUGGUUUCCCACCCCAGUAUGUGAACUGAGGUUCAUCCACGGUGAAGUUUGCAGGUGGAAUGAACUGUGUGGCCAUCUAUAUUGAUAACGAAGGGACCUGCAUGCAAAUGAUAGGAUCAGCAGUGCUAUAGCCUGGUCAUGCUGCAUGGAAACAGUCUUCUCAAGAAUCAGUUUUUAAAAAUCAGCAGAAGGAAAGAUGCUGACCCUCUCCAAUUCUUUUCCAUUUGAGUUUUCAGCUACACUGUCACCAGCAUUUUUUUAAUAGCUAAUACAGUAGGACAGGUGUCCUGAAAUAAGUGCCCUGUCUUUGGAAAGAGCAAAUGGGUGACAAUAUCUAGAUCUGAAGUUUACAGCAACACUGAACCGACCAUACUGGUUAUCCUCAGGGAGCCCAGAGCUACAUGACAUAUAUUUUCUGAAAAGAGGUUGAAAUCAAGCAGAGUGAGAGCAAAAUCUGCAACUGAAGACUAGUUAAAAUUUUAUGCUAAAAUAUAUGAUACCGAAAUGAGGUUGGUUUAGUUUUUUUUCAAUUAUAUUUAACCCUUAAAAUCUCGAAUAAAGAACUAUCAUGGUAUAUUACAAUAG